CGUUAGUACUGGACUAGUGCCCGCGGUCGUAUAACACGGACUAUCGACGCCGAGCGUAAUAAUAUGGUUAGGUAAUACAUUAAAAAUGGAUUAAAGGGAAAAAUUUGCAAGAAAAUUAUUGGAAUUUGUGAGGUCAUUAAAGUAUUGUUAGAUGUCAUUAAGUGCAAGCAUGUGAUAUUUUUCCGCGAAAAGGGGUUAGGUUUUUUUUUAUUGUAUGUGAUACAGCGUGUAUUUUUGAUAAGAUCGCAUAUAAUCAUAGCGUAGUUUAGUCCCUAAUAAUGAACACCUUUCAUAGGUUUUAUAAAAAAGUACCACUUGUAUUUUUCCGUAUAAAAUAAUUCACCAAGCAAUAAGAAUAGGAAUAUUUAAAAGAAAAAAACAUUAAUAUAUCACUACUUAGCUUUAAGACAAAACGUCGCAUUUACUGAUGCGAACGUCACAACUGUCACAUAUUUUGUGAUGGUAAAUUAUUUUAUAAUCGUUUCCUGGCAUAAGAACCUACCGUUUAAGUUUGCGGUUAUAUCAAAAAUACACAGCCUUAUAGUAGGGUAGGGCGGGGCUUAAAGGUCCGCGGGUAAAAAGGUCCACCAUGCCUAACUCCGAAACUAAAAGUUCGUUUGACAUCGAAGUGACCAGAAUGUGAGGGGUUAGCGGGGGGAGUACGCGCGCCGCCUCGCGUAGUGCGCUGGCAAACGCCGACCGGUCUGUACAUGUCCGCGUCGAAAAAAUCUCAUAAUGCGUAAUUAUAAGAGAAAAACCGAACGGGGGACGAAGUCUGUGGAGUUAAUGAAGCGUGCUGCUGAGUUGGUGAUAAGUGAAGAAAAAUCACAGAGGCAAGUUUGUCGAGAUUUUGAGAUUAGCAAAACCUCUUUACAAAGAUUCAUAGAACGUUUAAAGAAAAAUCCAGAUUCGCCGACAUUUGGUUACGGAACUCCCAGGCAAGUGUUUAACCGAGAACAAGAAGCAUCCCUCACGGAGUAUCUGCUCACGGUCGCUCAAAUCUAUCACGGUUUAGGAUCUAAAGAUUGUGCCAUAGUUAUAAGUUGGGUAGAAAUUAAAAUAGUAGACAUUUGGUUUCUUUUUUAUAUAUAAAAAUAUAAUUGAGUUGAUUUAA